rnacentral:rRNA from 1 species
GCCUACGGGGGGCAGCAGUGGGGAAUAUUGCACAAUGGGCGAAAGCCUGAUGCAGCAACGCCGCGUGAAGGAAGAAGGGUUUCGGCUCGUAAACUUCUAUUAACAGGGACGAAAGAAAUGACGGUACCUGAAUAAGAAGCCCCGGCUAACUACGUGCCAGAAGCCGCGGGAAUACGUAGGGGGAAAGCGGUAUCCGGAAUUACUGGGCGUAAAGGGUGAGUAGGCGGCAUGGGAAGCCAGAUGUGAAAGCCUUGGGCUUAACCCGGGGAUGGCAUUUG